CCCCACCUCAGGGGUCUUGGGAAGCCCAGCUCUCUCCUCCCUGUAGAAGCCAAAUGUGUCCGUAGCUUCACGUGCCAGCAGCCCUUGCAGCCCAGGCCCAGGUCUAGUGGUAGCUAUCUAAACAUACAAAGGAAAGCAAAAGAAAAGACGCAGAGGAAAAGCAAAGCAGAGGGGCUGCGGAGGCCUCCCUGGUGGCUGUAGGUCGCAGGGAGGCGGGUUUCCAUGGCAGCAGUGACAGGUCUGCGUGCACGACGCUGGACGGCUUGGGGAGCUGCCUGGGCGCCCGUGAGCUCUUGGCUUAAUCCCGUGUUAACGCUCUCGAUGAGACCCGGGACAUUUCGCUAAGCCCUCCAGCCCCUUCUCGGACUAGCGCGAGAACCUAACCGUUGCCAGCCCUGCUCCGAGCGAUCCGCUGUGUUUCUCUUCUUGCCGAUCUUAUUGCUCCCAGCCUUCUGUAGGCCCCAGCCUCUCUGCGCCCCGUUCCUCAGGGGCCACAGCACCUGCUAGAGCAAGCCCCUCCCCCGAGCAAGCCCCGCCCUGGCAGUGGGUCCGCGCAGACCGCCCCUCCCUGCGGGCGGCCGGUGGCCGUUUCAUUCACUAGGCGGUGCGGGCGGAGGAUCCGUGGUCUGAGGGCUCGUCGGGGGCCUGUGGAAAUACAAGUCCUGAAGAAGAAUCAGAAUUAAAAGGGGAAAACCUAAAUUAGAUACCAUAAACCGUACCAUCCUGUUAAACUCAUUGUUAGUUUCAUAGCUAUUUCAUAGCAUGUCAGAAUUCUUCUACACUUGAAAAUAACGCGUAGGUUAGAAUCUUCACCUCACAAGAAAUUCUGCACACGCAAGAGGAUUGGCUAAGAUUGAGCCAAGUGUAAAUUAAGUGACUUACCCUCACCAAAUAAUUCCAAAAGCAAAACUGUACAGUUUCCAGAUCUCACUUUAGAGACCGCCUGCCCCGCUGGCCGCGUGUGCACUUUGGCACCUGAUGCGCAGGGCGGAGCCUCUCGGAGGGGGGGCGCCGUGGGCCCCGGCUUUGGGGCGGGGACCUUGUCCUACAGACCCCAGCCCAGGGAGGCCUUGCGCGCGACAAGGUUUGAGGUCUGCGAGGCUGUCCCCAGUCGCCAGUCGCCACUUUCACCCGGCGGCAGGGCCUGCCAGUCGUUGCCAGGAUCCGUUCCCGGGAAUUGUGCCGCCGUCCCUCCCCGCCUCCCGCCUCCUGUGCACAGACGCCUCUCGGGCCCAGGUUCCAGCCAGGUGACCGCGAGGAGCAGCGGCUGUCCCAGCUCCAAGGCGCGGGUUUUACGGGACUUUGGCUGUCUCGCACUUCCUCUCUCUCCCCUUCCUUGUGACAGGAACCCGGACAAGCCUCGGGUCCUGCAGGUGGACGUGGCGUCCCAGAGGGUGGUGACGUAGGAGCCUCGGUUCUUUGACAAGCUCAGGGAGCAGGACCGUCCACCCGCCUCCAACUGCCUGCUUCCCCCUCCGCCGGUUACUGAGGGAGCACUGCGGGCCUCUCUCUAAGCCGUUUGGGCAUCUGUGAUGCAUCGUGGCGUUACAGCGCCUGAGCCUGAGCUCUGGCAGAAACAGAGCUGCCUUGCCUUUGUGCCGCGAGGAUUCGCCUGGGCUUCCUGGGAGCUGCGGCACCGCUGGCCUCCAGCGGACCAAGACGUGCCGAGGCCAAGCCCAGCAGGCGGGGAGGGACCCGGGCUCUCUCCGUGCCUGGUCCAGGCCACCACAGCCUCAGCAGCCCCCAGCCUGGGGACGAGGCCUGGUGCUGGGGCUCGGCUCCCCAUUUCUUCCAGCGAGUCGCAGGCACGGUCUGGCCCACUGAUAAUGUCACUUGAUGGCAGAGCCUGGGCCAGGCGGUGCCUCUGUGGCUUUUUUGGUUUAUUAAUGGGCCUAGUGAAGCAUUCCUCUCUCCUGUGUGAGGUGUCUCUCUGCGUAACCAAGCAGUUGAUGAGACGGUUAACUUAACAACGCACAGCAUAAGAGUUGUGAGUUUAGGUUGCAGCUCAGGAGGCAGCCUCGGCUCCAGAGAGGAGGGAUAAACAGCCUUACAUCUCGCCUGUAAGCCUGACACGCAUCUUGGUAAGAGGUUACGCUGGUCGCAAAGAACCAGUAUUCCAAGCCAGUGGCUUCAGUGGCUUUCUCUGUGUGGACAGAUGCAAGAAUGUGGGUUCGUGCAGUUCUCCCUGAGGCACACACUUAACUGUGUAGGUUUUUCCGAAGCACAGAGGGCCCCGUCCUGACGCUCAUCCUGCCUCCUCCCAGGGGCGAGCUCCCGGCGCGGCGGAGGGCCUCACCGGCGAACCGGGCGGUGAGCGAGGCUCUUGGUGCUUCUUUGUUUGCAAAGAAGGGUCUCUUUCAGACGUACUGCAGCUAAUAGCAGAAGGGUUGCUAGACUGGGGCACCGCCAGGGAGUGAAUGAAUCCCGGCAGUGACCACCCAAGGCCGCCCAUAGCGCAAGGAGAAAGUUGUCCAGACGCCGCGAGUCUGAUACGUGACAUCACCUACAGGGCGCCGCCAAACGAGGUCUGAAUGUGAUCCAGUCUGGAGGUCUGACUGCCAAGUCAGCUCUAGCUCCCAAGUGAGGGGACCUGCCCGGAACAGAGGAGCAUUUUAAGGGACACCCCGAGGAGACAAUCGGCAAAAUCCGGUUUGUGAGCAACAGUAGGUCCGGUUUCCGCAACAAGUAUAUCGCAAGGGGGGAAAACAUGAGAUGGACGGGAAACCUACAGGCUAAGGAGACUUAAAAAACCGUAUAAGCCAAUCGUGAAGUAUGAAACUUACUUGCAUCCUGGUUUAAAGAAACUAAAAAUAUCAUGAGAGGGUUGGGAAAAGAUGAGCAGUCGGUCACAGGACACUUGAUGGUAUUAAGAACUUAUUGUCUGCAGUUCCCUGCAUGGCUCAGUGGUUUAAAGACUCCGACUAGGAACCAUGGGGUUGCGGGUUCGAUCCCUGGCCUCGGUCAGUGGGUUAAGGAUCCGACGUUGCCGUGAGCUGUGGUGUAGGUCGCAGACGCAGCUUGGAUCCCGAGUUGCUGUGGCUGUGGCGUCGGCCGGUGGCUACAGCUCCGAUUCGACCCCUGUCCUGGGAACCUUCACAUGCCGUGGGUUCGGCCCUAGAAAAAGACAAAAAGACCAAAAAAAAAAAAUUUUAUUAUCUUCAAUAUUAUUUUUACUUUAUGUUUAAUUUUCAUGUUUCUUUUAGGUGUGAUCAAGAUUUGUAAUAGUAGGAGUUCCCGUCGUGGCGCAGUGGUUAACGAAUCCGACUAGGAACCAUGAGGUUGCGGGUUCAAUUCCUGCCCUUGCUCAGUGGGUUAACGAUCCGGCGUUGUCGUGAGCUGUGGUGUCGGUUGCAGACGCGGCUCGGAUCCCGCGUUGCUGUGGCUCUGGCGUAGGCCGGUGGCUACAGCUCCGAUUGGACCCCUAGCCUGGGAACCUCCAUAUGCCGCGGGAGCAGCCCAAGAAAUAGCAACAACAACAACAACAA
rnacentral:lncRNA from 1 species